rnacentral:rRNA from 1 species
UGGUCAUUCAAAUUUUUGCCCUAUCAACUUUCGAUGUUUGGGUAUUGGCCAAACAUGGUUGCAACGGGUAACGGAGGGUUAGGGCUCGACCCGGAGAAGGAGCCUGAGAAACGGCUACUACAUCCAAGGAAGGCAGCAGGCGCGCAAAUUACCCAAUCCCGACCGGGGAGGUAGUGACAAUAAAUACUGAUACAGGGCUCUUUUGGGUCUUGUAAUUGGAAUGAGUACAAUUUAAAUCCCUUAACGAGGAACAAUUGGAGGGCAAGUCUGGUGCCAGCAGCCGCGGUAAUUCCAGCUCCAAUAGCGUAUAUUAAAGUUGUUGUGGUUAAAAAGCUCGUAGUUG